rnacentral:tRNA from 1 species
GGCUAUAAUAGCGUUUGAUAUCUGGCUAUUUGCAUGAAUACGAAGGAUUCAGAAAUAAUACAUGAGGAUUGAAAAUCCUCGUGUCGGGGGUUCGAUUCCCUCUCUGGCCACCA